UUUCAUAAAGGUAUGCAUGUGACAUACAGGUCAUCUGUAUGCUAAGAGAGCGAACGCUUGGCAACAGCCCAACCCGUCUGGUCAAGCAGCUGACAGAGAACCACAUUGAGGAGUGGUUGGACCGCCUAGCUGACUAAUUUGGGGAAUGUGCUGCUUUUGUGGACAAGCCCAGCCUCUUCCCAGUGGCCUGUAGGAGCCCCCAGAGCCUCUUGAUGUCCCCACCAGCCGAUGGCUACUGUCUAUUUAUGGAUGGGACAUCAUCAGGCGUAUGGACCACAUCAAGGCCAGAAUUACCUCCACAUUUGGGUCCAUUUUAAAAAUUGACUCCACCAAGAAGUUUAUUUCAUAGAACCAGCUGUAUCUCCUGGAAGGCCUGAACAGGUGGAAUCAGGACCGAGCUGUUGCAUCCCUCUCCACCAAACCCUCCUUACUGCUGAGCUACGCUGGGGACGUGGUUCAGUGUGUGAACAAAAACAGCAUGAAGUUGUUUGGCCUGAAAUAUGUGUCCUCUUUCCGCCCCCCUACAAAAUACACUGGAGAGCUGAUAGGCAUGGACUAUCUGCUCCUUCAGACAGGGCAGCCUUUGCGGAGGGUGGACCCCGACACAGAGUAGAC